AUUGAACGCUGGCGGCAGGCCUAACACAUGCAAGUCGAGCGAGCGGCGGACGGGUGAGUAAUGUAUGGGGACUGCCCGAUAGAGGGGGAUAACUACUGGAAACGGUGGCUAAUACCGCAUACUAUCGGAUAACCCAUAUGGGAUUAGCUAGGAGGGGGGGUAAAGGCUCACCUCGGCGACAAGCUCUAGCUGGUCUGAGAGGAGGAUCAGCAACACUGGGAGUGAGACACGGCCCAGACUCCUACGGAGGCAGCAGUGGGGAAGAUUGCACAAUGGGCUCAAGCCUGAUGCAUCCAUGCCGCGUGUAUGAAGAAGGCCUUAGGGUUGUAAAGUACUUUCAGCGGGGAGGCGUUACCCGCAGAAGAAGCACCGGCGAACUCCGUGCCAGCAGCCGCGGUAAUAC
rnacentral:rRNA from 1 species